rnacentral:rRNA from 1 species
UUUGGCCUACGGGACGCAGCAGUGGGGGAUAUUGGACAAUGGGGGAAACCCUGAUCCAGCGACGCCGCGUGAGUGAAGAAGUAUUUCGGUAUGUAAAGCUCUAUCAGCAGGGAAGAAAGAAAUGACGGUACCUGAGUAAGAAGCCCCGGCUAACUACGUGCCAGCAGCCGCGGUAAUACGUAGGUGGCGAGCGUUGUCCGGAAUUACUGGGUGUAAAGGGAGUGUAGGCGGGAAAGCAA